rnacentral:misc_RNA from 1 species
UUUUCUCUCUUUGUCGUUUGUUUCGUCUUGCUUUCCACGUGCAGUCCGCGAUCUAUCACUCCCUGCCCUGUGGCCCUCGAGGCCGCGUUGUACUAUUUUUGUUGUUGUUUUCCUCUCGGCUGCUCGUCCCUGUACUCGCGCGCAACGCACCUUUCUCCCCUCCCCAGCCACCACCGCCAUCCCCCCUCUUCCUGCUUCACAGAUGAUUAUGCCCGCAUGCACGUGCGGGGGGAUGAUGGUGUUGCCGCUUCACUACGAGGUCACUCCUUUGUCAUGGCGGAGUGCUGUCUUGCUUUUUUUUUUUACUCCUGCCCUCCGCGCUUCUCUUCCUGCCGAGGGCUCUUGAAAGUGUUGUUUCCAGCGAAUGGGCCUUUCGGUAUCACACAGUCGAUUCUUACGCACCUGCUAGUGCUUGCUUUUGUGCCGGUGCGUCUUGAACACUUUCAUGCUCCUCCGAC